rnacentral:rRNA from 1 species
NNAUGCGAUCAUACCGGAACUAAAGCACCGGAUCCUAUCAGAACUAUGAAGUUAAUUGUGCUUGGGCGAGAGUAGUACUNNNAUGGGUGACUUCCUGGGAAGUCCUGGUGUUGCAUUCC